UCCCUGGUAGUAUAUCGGUUAGUACACGCGCCUGUCAUCGCCUAGCGGUCGCGCGAAAGCGGGGUUCGACUCCCCGCCAGGGAG